rnacentral:lncRNA from 1 species
CUCUGUUCUCCAGCCUCGUUACAUGGGUUUCUGUCUCUCCUCAGCAUCCCCUUGAAUGGCAUCUACUGCACGGAGUGCCUUCCUUGCCUCUAGUUAAGAUUUAUACCGACUGCCGCUCUGCUUACUACGGUUGAGAGGAUGGGUGAUAUGGCCUAACAGGGUGGAAGUAUUGAUCGAAAUGAAACUUUGACAAAUGGCUGGAACAGAAUCUUGAGAAAGUUCCUUGACUGUUCCUUUCCAUUCAAAAAGAGAAUUUCAGAGUAAAUUUGAUCAGUUCAAUUGUUCAAAGGAAAUGGAAAGAACAGGAGAGUGGAAGUUCAGUAGUAGCAGGAACACAGAAGUCAUAAGGCUGACCUAGACAAUGGGAAGAUGCAGAAUAUUUUAGUAACGUGCUGUAGUAACUGUCACCUGCAAAAUGUCCAUCAGCACUUCUGCAAAUUCUUUCCACCAUUCUCAACAAGAUAACAAAAGGUAAGCCUAGUUGCAGACAUUGAGACUUUGGUUUUUCUCACCUUCCUCUUAACCUCUUUUGCCAAGACACAUCUGGGUCCUUCUCUGAAUAGACACCUCUGGGUUCAAAGCCACAGAAUGAGAUGACUGAGGCUCGGGUGGGAUAUAGAUAUCAAGGCUAGGAAUUCCAGUCCACACAUCUGCAGAGUUCAUCACCUGUAUUUUGCUAAUAAAGAUCCCAAGACAUCUAACAUCUUUCUCACGCUUGUGCUUGUUGGCCAGGCAGUCACCAGCUUAACUGGGCUGAACUGUAGCAAAACCUCUUCAAAAAGCAUCCUGGCAAAGCAUGUGUAACACACAGCGAGGAUUGGGCAGCACAUAACAUACAGCAGCUGUCUUCACUUUGCUUCAAAGUAAAUAUCUUCAAUGCCCACCUGAGCUUUGGGGAUUUCAAGCCCUUAUCUCUUAUCUGCAAAGAGAGCAGGGACUCUGGCCAGGAAGCUACGAGUAUUCAAGGGGGAAGAUAUUUUCUAUACUUCCUGCAUACCAUGUAGUGGUACUCACAUGCAUGUGGUUCUCUGGGAGGAGUUUAAAGCAAUAAGGUGGAGGAUAGGAUACGUUUUCCAUCCCUCCCUGUGCUGACUUAGCUUGUUCUACACUUAGCUGUUUUGGAUUGGCACAAGAUAGAGGAUUUUGUUCGGUAUGCUCACUGCUGUGUAAGGUGUUUCAAAAAUAUUGGCUUUGCAGCCUAAUGAAAAUACAGGGAUUUUUCAGAAAAAUCAGUAGAACCUAUCCUCUACGGAUACGCAGAUGUAGCGAUUAUUGGAGUUUUAAUUAAAAUAGCAGGU